GGUUAAGCGACUAAGCGUACACGGUGGAUGCCCUGGCAGUCAGAGGCGAUGAAGGACGUGCUAAUCUGCGAUAAGCGUCGGUAAGGUGAUAUGAACCGUUAUAACCGGCGAUUUCCGAAUGGGGAAACCCAGUGUGAUUCGUCACACUAUCAUUAACUGAAUCCAUAGGUUAAUGAGGCGAACCGGGGGAACUGAAACAUCUAAGUACCCCGAGGAAAAGAAAUCAACCGAGAUUCCCCCAGUAGCGGCGAGCGAACGGGGAGCAGCCCAGAGCCUGAAUCAGUGUGUGUGUUAGUGGAAGCGUCUGGAAAGGCGCGCGAUACAGGGUGACAGCCCCGUACACAAAAAUGCACAUGCUGUGAGCUCGAUGAGUAGGGCGGGACACGUGGUAUCCUGUCUGAAUAUGGGGGGACCAUCCUCCAAGGCUAAAUACUCCUGACUGACCGAUAGUGAACCAGUACCGUGAGGGAAAGGCGAAAAGAACCCCGGCGAGGGGAGUGAAAAAGAACCUGAAACCGUGUACGU
rnacentral:rRNA from 1 species